GGUGGGGUACCCAAGCGGCCAACGGGAUCAGACUGUAAAUCUGACGUCUUCACGACUUCGUAGGUUCGAAUCCUACCCCCACCA
rnacentral:tRNA from 1 species